GUGUCUUUAGCCUAGCAGUAAAAGGCAAAACUGUAGUAUUUGUCAUGCUGAGGUUGUGGGUUUGAAUCCCACCAGACACA
rnacentral:tRNA from 1 species